GAAGGUAUGGCUCAGUGGUAGAGCAUGUGCCUUGCAUGCACAAGGUCCUGGGUUCAAUCCCCAGUACUUCCA